rnacentral:lncRNA from 1 species
AUUCAUUUCCCCCUUGGUGUGGAGAACACAGCAGUACACCAGGGCCCCUCUGUCUGCUGGUGAUUGGAGGAGAAAGCAAGCCAUCUAUUGCAGAAACAUGCCAGCGUCUUUUUUUAAUGGAAGAUCAUCUAUGAAAAUCGGAAAAUGGAAGAGGACCUUCUACAAUGCUACUCAAAGCCAGGAAAUAUUUUUAGCAUAGUUAAUAACAGAUCGAGGGAUAAGACAGUUGAGAAAUUCAUUCUCAAAAGUAUAAAAGGCGUGACUGUGAGACCGGUAUUUCCUUCCUUCAUUCAUUUAAACAAUAUUUACUGAGUGCCUACAGAUUACUAAACACUGCUCUAGGAG